rnacentral:misc_RNA from 1 species
UACGGAGGGUGCGAGCGUUGUUCGGAAUUAUUGGGCGUAAAGCGCACGUAGGCGGACUGUUAAGUCUGAGGUGAAAUCCCUCGGCUCAACCGAGGACGUGCCUUGGAUACUGACAGUCUUGAGUCCCGGAGAGGGUGGCGGAAUUCCCAGUGUAGAGGUGAAAUUCGUAGAUAUUGGGAGGAACACCAGUGGCGAAGGCGGCCACCUGGACGGUGACUGACGCUGAGGUGCGAAAGCGUGGGUAGCAAACAGG